AGACUCAUAUCGACGUCCGUUCCUCAAAUCGACGUCCAAAUCUGACGUCACAAUAAAAUAAAAUUCCAAAUCGACGGCCAAUGCUAUGUCUACCUAAUCAACGUCCAUGUUUUGGCUUCUCUAAUCGACGUCCAAUUUGUAAGUCCUCUAAUCAACGUCCGUUUCGGACACAGAAAUUUGAAAAUUGACCAGAACCGACAGCAGCUGAAAUCUUUUGACCUUUGAACAUAUUAUGUGCGACAAAUGAAUCUAUUUUCAAAAAAUGUUUUUUAAAGAUUUAUAUAAACAUUGACAUACUAGACUUAAUAUGUUAACAGGUUGUGAUAUCAUUUUUUUUUUUUAUUUAUUUUAGAGGUUACAUGAAAAAUAAGGAGAUGUAGUAUGACGUGAAUAAUGUAAACAGUUCAAAUUACAAAAUUGACGGUCUUACUUAUAAAAAAAAAAUAUGUCAGACACAAACCAUCGGAAACCACUUCACUAUAGGACCAUAAAGAAUAUGUCGGGUUAAACAUUUGUGUGAGUACUUUACCUGGAACAGUAGUGUAACAGCACUACAUAAAACAUAAUGCCAAUUUAUUGCGUAUAAGUUUCACUACAGGUGUAGAACAGAAAUGUGUUGAAAAAUAUCUUUCAGAGUCCGAAUUAUAAUACUAAAAUAAAAUUGGCUGUACUUCUUUAUUUUGUCAAUUGGUUAAAGAUUGAAUAAUGCCCCG
rnacentral:lncRNA from 1 species